rnacentral:tRNA from 1 species
GGUUCCAUAGUGUAGCGGGUAGCACAUCUGCUUUACAUGCAGAAGGUCUUGGGUUCACUCCCCAGAGAAGCCA